AUACUUGCCUGGCAGGAGAAAGAGAUACCGUGAUCACACAGGUGGUUUUCCAGGGCCAGGCUUAUCCAUCGAACUCCAGAUAUGCUGACCUCUGAGAUUUCCCCAAAUGUGGGAAACUUGGCUGUGUAAUUUGUGGUAGUGGGGGACUAUGUUUGUGCUUUCCCCUU